rnacentral:rRNA from 1 species
GUGCAGCAGGCGAGAAUCCUCCGCAAUACACGAAAGUGUGACGGGGUUACCCAAAGUGUCCAAAUUUGGACUGUGGUAGGUGAGUAAUGUCCCCUACUAGAAAGGAGAGGGCAAGGCUGGUGCCAGCCGCCGCGGUAAAACCAGCUCUUCAAGUGGUCGGGAUAAUUAUUGGGCUUAAAGUGUCCGUAGCCGGUUUAGUAAGUUCCUGGUAAAAUCGGGGUAGCUUAACUAUCUGUAUGCUAGGAAUACUGCUAUACUAGAGGGCGGGAGAGGUCUGAGGUACUACAGGGGUAGGGGUGAAAUCCUGUAAUCCUUGUAGGACCACCAGUGGCGAAGGCGUCAGACUGGGACGCGCCUGACGGUGAGGGACGAAAGCCAGGGGAGCGAACCGGAUUAGAUACCCCCGUAGU